AUGCGCGUCUGUGUACUCUGCUUCUUCGAUGACAUCUUGAUCUUUAGCGCCACUUUGGAGGAACACAAGUGUCACGUGCGACAAGUGUUGGGGCUUUUGCGCAAAGAUCAUUGGAAAGUUAAGCUCAGCAAGUGUGCUUUCGGUCAGAGCAAAAUUGCAUACCUGGGCCAUGUCAUCAGCGUGCAAGGUGUGUCAACAGAUCCCACCAAGAUAGCUGCAGUAGCAAUUUGGACCUCCCCUCAGAAUGUCAAGGAAGUCAGGAGCUUCUUGGGACUUGCAGGCUACUACCGACGUUUCGUGCGCAAUUUUGGAGUGAUUGCGCGGCCACUGUUUAACUUGCUGAAAAAGAGCGUCCCCUUCCUUUGGACAUCAAUCACAGAAACUGCUUUUCAAAUUCUCAAGCAACAACUUAUGACAGCUCCGGUUCUGGCCCUGCCAAACUUUGAUCACCCAUUCACAGUUGAGACAGAUGCAUGCGACCGUGGCAUAGGCGCAAUUCUGCAGCAACAGGGGCAUCCCAUAGCCUUCAUGAGCAAGGCUCUGAGCCCACGCUAUCAGGGACUGUCGACAUAUGAGAAGGAACACCUGGCAAUUAUAGUUGCCGUGGAACAGUGGCGUCCAUAUCUGCAACACUCGGAGUUUGUCAUCUUCACAGACCAAAAGAGCCUCACGCAUCUAGAAGAACAACGUCUCAACACACCGUGGCAGCACAAGGCUUUCACCAAACUGUUGGGACUCAGGUGUUGUAUUAAGUACAAGAAGGGUACAGAGAACAACGGCGCCAAUGCCCUCUCACGUGCAAACCCA
rnacentral:rRNA from 1 species